rnacentral:rRNA from 1 species
UACGUAGGGUGCGAGCGUUGUCCGGAAUUACUGGGCGUAAAGAGCUCGUAGGUGGUUUGUCGCGUUGUCCGUGAAAACUCACAGCUCAACUGUGGGCGUGCGGGCGAUACGGGCAGACUGGAGUACUGCAGGGGAGACUGGAAUUCCUGGUGUAGCGGUGGAAUGCGCAGAUAUCAGGAGGAACACCGGUGGCGAAGGCGGCUCUCUGGGACGGUACUGACGCUGAGACGCGAAAGCGUGGGGAGCAAACCGG